rnacentral:rRNA from 1 species
UUUUAAGUCGAAAGGCGACAGAUGGGAGCUUGCUCCUCGGAUGUUAGCGGCGGACGGGUGAGUAACACGUGGGUAACCUGCCUGUAAGACUGGGAUAACUCCGGGAAACCGGAGCUAAUACCGGAUAGUUCCUUGAACCGCAUGGUUCAAGGAUGAAAGACGGUUUCGGCUGUCACUUACAGAUGGACCCGCGGCGCAUUAGCUAGUUGGUGGGGUAAUGGCUCACCAAGGCGACGAUGCGUAGCCGACCUGAGAGGGUGAUCGGCCACACUGGGACUGAGACACGGCCCAGACUCCUACGGGAGGCAGCAGUAGGGAAUCUUCCGCAAUGGACGAAAGUCUGACGGAGCAACGCCGCGUGAGUGAUGAAGGUUUUCGGAUCGUAAAGCUCUGUUGUUAGGGAAGAACAAGUGCGAGAGUAACUGCUCGCACCUUGACGGUACCUAACCAGAAAGCCACGGCUAACUACGUGCCAGCAGCCGCGGUAAUACGUAGGUGGCAAGCGUUGUCCGGAAUUAUUGGGCGUAAAGGGCUCGCAGGCGGUUUCUUAAGUCUGAUGUGAAAGCCCCCGGCUCAACCGGGGAGGGUCAUGGGAAAAACUGGAAA